ensembl:snRNA U6 U6 spliceosomal RNA
AUGCUCACUUCAGCAGCACAUGUACUAAAAUGGGAUCGGCACAGAGAGCUUAGAAUGGCCCCUGAGCAAGAAUGACAUGCAAAUUUGUGAAGCACUCCAUAUUUUU